CGGUCAAAGGAAUCUGGCUUACAACACUCCACAGUUGAUGGCCCUCGCCCGUCACGAACUACUGGCACUGCGAAAAAAAAAACAACGGGAUCGCUCCAGAUCAACCAACGAAAAAUUGCACUAAGCAAGCACUGGAACUGUACAAGGGGCAUGGCAUACGUUGACAAUACUUCACAGAUAAUGAAGGUAAUAAUACAGUGUCUUCUUUCAUUUGGA